AUACCCGCGCCCCAAGUGGUGGUCGAUAUUAUUGAGCCUAAAACGUCCGUAGCCGGUCUUUUAAAUCCUUGGGUAAAUCGGGCAGCUUAACUGUCCGACUUCCGAGGAGACUGGAAGACUUGGGACCGGGAGAGGUCAGAGGUACUUCUGGGGUAGGGGUAAAAUCCUGUAAUCCUGGAAGGACCACCGGUGGCGAAGGCGUCUGACUAGAACGGAUCCGACGGUGAGGGACGAAGCCCUGGGGCGCAAACGGGAUUAGAUACCCCGGUAGUCCAGGGUGUAAACGCUGCGGGCUUGGUGUUGGGGGUCCUUUGUGGGCGCCCAGUGCCGGAGAGAAGUUGUUAAGCCUGCUGCUUGGGGAGUAUGUCCGCAAGGAUGAA
rnacentral:rRNA from 1 species